GAGGCUGCGGGCCGGACUCAGGUCUGCGGGCUGACCCGGCCGCUCCCGCGCCCUGGGCGUGCCGGGGGCCGGAAGCAGAGGGCGCAGGGCUCCAGGCGCCUGGGUUUUGGGCCUAACGGGCGGUGGAGAUCAGCUGGGCCCGAAAGAGGCGGGGCCAGAAAACCUGAGUCUGCAGAAACGGGGUGUGCGCGCCAACGCGCUGGGCGCGGGGACUGGGCCGCACCCGGCGCUCCCUGACCUGCGGACUCCGGCUGGAGCUUGAUUUGCAGUUUGCUAGACGCCACCAUUAACAGAUUGCCAGACAGCAAAGAAUAGAAAGCGUGGCGCUUUUAACUUUUGUUUUGGUUGGUUUAAUUUUUUUUUUCCCUCUCGGCUGGCAUUAACAGCGGUGAACCAGCCGGCUUAUACCAAGACUCUCCGAUUUCCCUUCGAUUCGAAGGUCAGCGUCUCCUGAGCUAGACGUCGAAUCUGAGAAUGGUGGUGUACCACAGAGCUCGAAAGUGAGCCCGAAAGUUGGCCGGUCACUAAGACAAACGCUCUGGCUUCACGCUGCAGUUCUAAAAUGCCGCCUUUAACUGUGAGGGAAAAACAGAAUACGGAAAAAAAAAAAAGGACUGAACCCGUGCCUCGGACCAGGGUCUAGUAGGCUGAAGGUUCGCGCAGCGAGCAGAAUAGAAACGUGGACGUGACUUGUAGGUCACUGAGAAGUGACCUCAGCCAUCCAGGAAAAAAGUAAACAGCCAGCGAGCUUUCUUGGACUGUAAACAAUUGCACUUAACUCCGUUUGUCCUUGAGUGCAGAGGACAUUUCAGCUUAGCAAACCCUAGACUUUAUAAUGGGACCCUGAGCCGUGCAACAGAGGGAUAAGGCAGCUUCUCGUUUUAGGAACUUACCUGAUGUGGACCCCUCUACAUUAGUCUCAUCUGAAGAUCCGUCCUCCUAACCCAGCACUCACACAUUUGCAGCUCCAGGAUGUGCCCUUCUCUCAAAACUCUGUGCCUUAGCUGUGCCCUGUGACUACACACCUUUCUUUUACUUCUGGCCAGCACCUCCUGAGGUAACUAACCAGCUCUGUGGAUGAUAAGCUAUCUGAGUUCAGAGCCCAGCUUUUAGGUUACCUUAAGCCUCUGGUGACUAUACACUGUAUGUAUGAUUUAUUUAUCUACCCUACCUACUAGGUUUUAGGGCAAGCAUGCUUUUAAAAACUCGUCAUCUCGUGGUUGGCAUAGUAUCCAACACGUAACUUAUGUAAGUACUCGUCUUUACAGAACUAGUGGAAUGCAGCAGGUACUAAGUUCGGUAUCACAUAAUGUCUCAUUUCAUCUCUAUAACAAUCACAUGGCCGGGCGCGGUGGCUCAUGCCUGUCAUCCCAGCACUUUGGGAGGCCGAGGUGGGUGUAUCACCUGAAGUCAAGAGUUUGAGAUCAGCCUAGCCAACAUGAUGAAACCCUGUCUCUACUAAAAAUGCAAAAAUUAGCCAGAUUACAGGGUGGUUACUCACCCCUGUAAUCCCAGCUACUUGAGAGGCUGAGUGGGAGAAUUGCUUGAACCCAUGAGGCGGAGGCUGCAGUAAGCCGAGAUCACGCCACUGCACUCCAGCCUGGGUGACAGAGCAAGACCCUGUCUCAAAAAACAAAAACAAAACAAAAAACCAGUCACAUGAGGAAGCGUUAUGAUAAGACACAACAUGAGUUUCAAGGGCCUCCCACCUCAGCCUCCCAAGAAUCAAGUUUUUAAUAUGCUUUCCAUAAUAUCCUACAACCUGUUAGUAGCCUAAAAUAUAUAUUUUGAUAAAGGCAUUUACCUGUUGGACUUAGGCAGAAAUGUGUGAUUCCAUGAAGGUCUGAUAAAUGGUCCAAAUGAUAUCCAUUUGCUGUAUUCCACUAAUAGCUGUGUAUAAUUUACUUUUCCCUUGCUGAAAAUGUAUACAAACUAUCAA